GAAAGGAAGUGGUAAACAGAUUUAAACCAACGUUUGAAAAGUUGCUUCUGUUUGUCAGUCCUGUGAGAAAACGUUGUUAUCGGAGAGAUCUGGAAGCUAAAACAAACUGGAGCUGCUUUUUGUCCAACACGAGUGAGACUGGACGCUGAACACACCUGCGGCGCUAAGGUUGACUGGUUGAGCUGCUGCAGCCUGGACACAAACACCUGCUCUCACCUGACAAACCAAACAGGUGUCACCACUUCAUCCACGAUCACAGAGAGUCUUCGUACAAUGAAGAAGUUGUUUGAGACCAGGACAGAGGCCUCCAGUCUCCUUCUCUCUCUGUCUCUUUGUCUCAUUCUCUCCUUGCUCUCUCACCCACUCUCAUGCUUUCUUUCUAUCUCUUCUAUCUCUUUUUGACCAUUUUUCAUACCUUUACUAUACUAUGACAUUUUUAUGACAUUUUUG